rnacentral:lncRNA from 1 species
CAAAUUUCUAUCAUCACAAACUUCAACUAGCUUGGUAAAACAAUGAUAAUAUAUUUCUUCAGACUUCCCAGUCAACAGAAUAAAUACAAGGGGAAUAUAGUUCCUAUUUUUAAAUCCAUGAAUGGUAUAGAGCUGCUUAAAAAAUUUAGGGCAAAAUUUAAAUGUUCCGUCCAUAAAAAAUUUUUCAACAUUACACAACAAUUCUAAAUUGGUUGUACAUGUAAAGAUGAUUAUUCCAUUUUCUCUGUCAUUGACUUGAAGAAAAUUUUCGAAUUUUGAGGUCUGUACAGGAUAACCUUCAAAGAGAGUGUGAACCUCUUCUCUUGACUUAGGCAAAUUCGGUUGGGAUUUCCUUCUCACUCUAUACAUUGCCUUUGAAACAGACUUUAAAUCCUUAGGAUGUAAAGAAUCCUCACCAACAUCUUUCAAUCCAGCACGAAUGAUUUUUGAUGGUCUCUGUGUGAGGUCGUCAGCAGCCUUUCGUUUUGCA